rnacentral:tRNA from 1 species
GUAUUGGUGGUUCAAUUGUAGAAUUCUCGGCUCCCAUGUGGGAGACCUGGGUUCAAUUCCCAGCCAAUGCA